rnacentral:sRNA from 1 species
UUCUUCAAAAACUCAUCAAAUUCUAGC